UACGUAGGGGGCAAGCGUUGUCCGGAAUCAUUGGGCGUAAAGAGCGUGUAGGCGGCCCGGUAAGUCCGUUGUGAAAGUCCAGGGCUCAACCCUGGGAUGCCGGUGGAUACUGUCGGGCUCGAGUCCGGAAGAGGAGUGUGGAAUUCCUGGUGUAGCGGUGAAAUGCGCAGAUAUCAGGAGGAACACCAAUGGCGAAGGCAGCUCGCUGGGACGUGACUGACGCUGAGACGCGAAAGCGUGGGGAGCAAACAGG
rnacentral:rRNA from 1 species